ACGACGCUGGCGGCGUGCCUAACACAUGCAAGUCGAGCGGGAAGCCACCGAAUGAAGCUUCGGCAGAUUUUGGUGGUGGAGAGCGGCGGACGGGUGAGUAACGCGUGAGUAACCUGCCCAUAAGAGGGGAUAACAACCGGAAACGGUUGCUAAUACCGCAUAUUAUGCUUUUGUCGCAUGACAGAGGUAUGAAAGAUUUAUCGCUUAUGGAUGGACUCGCGUCCAAUUAGCUAGUAGGUGAGGUAACGGCCCACCUAGGCGACGAUUGGUAGCCGAACUGAGAGGUUGAUCGGCCACAUUGGGACUGAGACACGGCCCAGACUCCUACGGGAGGCAGCAGUGGGGAAUAUUGCGCAAUGGGGGCAACCCUGACGCAGCAACGCCGCGUGAAGGAUGAAGGUUUUCGGAUCGUAAACUUCUGUCGUAAGGGACGAAAUUUGACGGUACCUUACAAGGAAGCCACGGCUAACUACGUG
rnacentral:rRNA from 1 species